rnacentral:rRNA from 1 species
CCUACGGGUGGCAGCAGUGAGGAAUAUUUGUCAAUGGGCGGGAGCCUGAACCAGCCAAGCCGCGUGAAGGAAGAAGGCGCCAAGCGUCGUAAACUUCUUUUGUCGGGGAACAAAGGGCGCCACGUGUGGCGUUGUGAGUGUACCCGAAUAAAUAGCAUCGGCUAACUCCGUUCCAACAGCCGCGGUAAUACGGGGGAUGCGAGCGUUAUCCGGAUUUAUUGGGUUUAAAGGGGGCGUAGGCGGUCCGGAAAGUCAGCGGUAAAAGCCCGGGGCUCACCCCCGGCGAGCCGUUGAAACUGUCGGACUAGAGACGGCGAGAAGUACGCGGAAUGCGCGGUGUAGCGGUGAAAUGCAUAGAUAUCGCGAAGAACUCCGAUUGCGAAGGCAGCGUACCGGCGCCGGACUGACGCUGAGGCACGAAAGCGUGGGUAUCGAACAGGAUUAGAUACCCUUGUAGUC